AGAGGAAGCCGGUGCGAAUCCGGCGCGGUCCCGCCACUGUCACCGGGGAGCGUCACCCAGCGAGCCACGGCCCACGCGGCUGGAAGGCGGGAGCGGCGCGGAUCCGGGAGCCAGGAGACUC
rnacentral:ncRNA from 2 species